rnacentral:rRNA from 1 species
GUGCCAGCAGCCGCGGUAAUACGGAGGAUCCAAGCGUUAUCCGGAUUUAUUGGGUUUAAAGGGUGCGUAGGCGGCUUAUUAAGUCAGGGGUGAAAGACGGUGGCUCAACCAUCGCAGUGCCUUUGAUACUGAUGAGCUUGAAUACACUUGAGGUAGGCGGAAUGUGACAAGUAGCGGUGAAAUGCAUAGAUAUGUCACAGAACACCAAUUGCGAAGGCAGCUUACUAAGGUGCAAUUGACGCUGAGGCACGAAAGCGUGGGGAUCAAACAGGAUUAGAAACCCCGGUAGUCC